UUAAACCAGAAAUACAAUGAAUCUGCUUAGAUAGAGUGGGGGAGGGGAAUUUGCGAAAAAAGAUGUGCUUGAUAAUUGACCAAAAUGUAAAAAAAAAUUACAUAAUCACUUGAAUUUCAUGGAAAAAUUAAAAGUAGGUAAACCUUACAUUCCUGAAACAUUUUUGACCUAAUUCAUGAACGAAUAACGAUACAAAAUCAUCUACUGAAAUAUACAGUAUGACACAAAAGUAGUGCCCAGUGGCUUUUAUUUCCAAGUGGAAAGAGCUAGCGAGAUGAAUGAAGCGGCGUUGAGUAGGGGAAAAUAAGGGCUUUCAAAAACGACCUUGAAAAUUUCAGACCCAUACACAGGGUGUCCACAAAUUGAAAAACCGGUUUGGUCAAAAAAUUCAAACUGGUUUUUAUUGGUGCAAUGUAAUUUUACACAAUAGGACGACGAAAACGUGAUAUGAUUUUUUUGAAACCAGUUCAUCAAUUUGCAACCAGUUUACAAAAAAUACCCAAAAACUGUAGAUAGAGAAAAAAGCUUGAAACAAAAGUUGUACAGCGUGAAAAAUUACACAAUUCUGUCUAAUCACAUUUUGAAACUGGUUCAUUGGUUCGCAUAUAGCAACCAGUUUUUGACAAUCACCUAAAAGUUGUAGAUAGAGAAAAAAGCUUUAAAAAAAAGUUCAAGAGUGUGAAAAAUUAAACCAUUUUUGCUGAUCGGAUUUUGAAACCGGUUCAUUAAUUUACAACCAUUUUUUGACAAUCACCUAAAAGUUGUAGAUAGUGUACCGGUAGGGAUUGCGCCCGCAGCUUCCGCCAUAAGUGGGAGAUGUGAGCCUCAAGUACUCAAGUAGCGAAUCGCGCAGCUCCAUUAGCGGCGCGAUCUGGCGGUGUAGUUUCUCCGAAUCUACACACAGCUUUAGCUGUGAAAGCUACGUUAGUAUAUUAGGAACCCAUUCAUGGGAUAGUUGUGUUCAUGUCUGUGGCAUUAGGCUACUUAGGGAUUCGUUUAUUAUACAGUAUCAAUCGUGUCUUAUACUCAUAGUUUGAGUUCGUGUAGUUUCACCUUUAUAUUGUUUUAUCGUAAGUCUACCAUUUGAGCGUAGCUGAUUGUGUGUGUAUACUCGCGAAUAAACUAUCUUACGUACCUCCGGUAUCAACUUUAUUGUGUUCACGUUCGUUCUACGAUCUUAGCAGCUGUACCUCAGCCAUUUACCUAAAUAAGAGUUGUUUCCCGACAACUCUUCUCACCUCGGAGUUAGCCCAUUUCCAAGGAGCUUCUCCGAACCUUAUGUAGCUGUGUCGAUUCCUAUAUAGGGGAGCCUCCGGUACACCCCUGACCACUACAUAAUUGGCGCCGCAACGUGGAUUAAAAUCCGCCAACUUUCCUGUCAACCUGGCGACAGAUGCCUUUGUGUGAGAAGAAAUCCACCCAACACAAAGAAGAGAUCAACCUGGCGAUCUAUAUAUUCGUGUUAAUUGUGUAAAAACUAUUUCAUUCGUGCAUAUUAUUCGUGUUUAACCUGUAUUCGACGAGGUAUAAAUUUUCACCGAUAAUUUAUGCUAAAAUUGUGUAAAAUCGCCGAAAUGUGCUCAACGGUGAGCAGAGCUGUGCAAGUUUCGUAUGUGAAAAAUUCAAGCACAGUUGAACCAGUUCGAUCUAAUGGUUCAAGGCCAACGUAGCUAUGGUCACUGUACAUUAUGAGCAUGUCGUAUAUACCUGUAAAAUGAAGAAAGGUAUUAUUAUUUCGAAAUACGAACGAUGUUCUGUGCAUUUUGGAUAUUGACUGGAUAUUUUCGAUCGAAUUAUGACACUUUGAUGGAAGAAAUUCUCCGCGAACUGAAAAUGGCAAUUUCAGUCAGAAAUCAAUAUUUCUUGUUGCUGGUAGAUGCUCCGAGUAUAGAAGAUGUCACCAAAAGCAGAUCGAAAAUCCAGUAUAAAUACAGUAACAACUGAAAAUGGUCAGAAUUUCGGAAAUGACCUCAGCCCAGCUGAACCAUGGAUCAUGGGGCAGUAGAUUGACUCCAAGAUACAUGAAGAACAUCUCCGAGUCGGAAAAUGGAAAAUCAACAUCAACAGCCUAAAAUACUCGUAAAUUAGGUCCUUGGGGCAGAGCAACGUUCCUGUGAAAGCAGUUAGAAGAUACAGGGGCAACGAAAAAUCAAGAAAAAAUAGCCCAAAUCAAGCAGCUAUGGGGCAGAAUAAGCCAGAGAAAUCAUUUAUCCGGUGAACAGUGCCAAUAUUAACUUAUCAGUGGCACAAUAUUCAAUAAGUUCUGUAAAAGAAAGCAGAUAUGUAGAUUCGUCGAAAAGUCAAGCUGAUUUAAAAGGUACUUACAGUAUUCAGAUUUUGAAAAAAUUCAUCAUUGUUGAUAUCGUGAUCACGUAGAUAGCUCCGAAAAGUUACCAGUCACUUUGUGAAGAUAAGCUGAAACAGAUAGUAGAUAUUUCGAUUAAAUAUUAUUCAACAUCAACGUAAUUAGCAUUCAGUGCUAUUAAUCAUCAUAAAUGAGUAAAAUAAAACGUAAAACUACUCACUGGUUGUAGAUAACUCCGAAUUCCAAAACUUGGCUCAAAACUUCGUAGAGUUCAAAUUCUUCGUAGAUAUUGCACCGAUUCCAGCUGGGUAACCUGUAAAAUGAAGAAAACAACACGAUUCAUUAGCCAACAUCGAUUAAUUAGUCUCGGAACGAUUAAUUAAUUAUUAAUUACCCAGUAAUUGGUAGCUUCCUCGAAAAUUCAAUCUAAUUAAUAAAAAAUCCACUUCCCCAGUAGAGAAGAUUGAUUAAUUUUUUGACUUUUCAAAGGAUGUACGACGUGAUAGACGCGAUCCGUUUCGUCACAGAAAAACAGAGUAGCCUCGCUGCGAUUGGCUCUUUUUGGUAGGUAUUGAAAUAGGUGCUAUUUUUUUUUUUUUUUUUAAUAAUCUCAUGGUUCAUAUCAUUUGAUUUUGAAUUUGUCAGUAUUUUUGAAAAGAUCUAAAAUUCAGAUAUUUUUCAACUUAAAUUUUCAACAACGACGAUUCAAAUUUAAUUAAUUGAAAAAAUAAAUGGUGCUACAACGUAUUUUUUUUUAGUAAAAAAUGAGAAAAAAAUGAAAAAUUGAUUAGCUGAGUGUGUUUUAGUGCUUGAUGCCCUUGACUAGCAGAGAAAAAUCUGGCCAAUGGCCAUCCAGUGUUAUGCUUUAUCAAUUUUCACUAUUUCUACAUUAUGAUGUGAUGGAGUUUCAAUUUUCUAUAUUUUCAGCAAUUUUUAAUUCGGAUUCUUGAUAAUUAAUGAAUCUGUUUCAAGCAAUUGGUUGCUAUUAUUAUAACCUGUGUAGUGUGUACUUUAUGGGAUGUUAUUUCUCAUUCAUUGUUGGUGAUGAUUGUGAUGAAUAUUGAAUAAUAAUAAUACUGUUGAUUUCGAUCAUAGACAAUUUUUACUUUUUGAGUGCUUUGCUUUUCAAUUUGAAUAAAUUGAAAAAAAACUGAUACCUGUGUAUAUUGUACUGUACAAGUGUACAUAAAUAAUACAGUUGAUUGAUAGCAGACUGAUUCUCAUAUUUUUAAAUUUUCAACAAUUGUGUACUCAAUGGGAUGUAAUUUGUGUUUUAUUGUGCCGUGAUAAACUGCUUCUUGAGUGACUUUCCUUUUUGAAUUUAUUUUCAAAAGAAAAAAAAAGUGAUACUUGAACUUUUAAGCACUUAUUUACACUUCCUAAUGUGAAUAUUAAAUAAAGUUGGUUGGUUCCAGUUGUUCAUUUCAUUUACCUGUAACCUGUGUAUAUUGUACUGCUGUGCAUAAUAAAUAAUACAGCAGUUGAUUGAUAGCAGACUGAUUAUCAUUUUGAACUUUUUCAACAAUCUUUGAAUUUCUUAGAUUCAAGCACUCAGCACUGAUUAUUAUCAACAGCAGGCUACAGAUUUUGUAUUGAUCUGUCAGGUCUAUUCUACAGAAGGUCGUGUGGGUCGUGUGAAUACAUAAUAUUUGCACGUAAAAAUUUUUUCGAGUGGCCGUGUUUUUAAACACGUAAAUUAUUUUCUUGAAUAAAUGGUCGUGUAGAUUUUUUUGCACGUAAAACUCUACUGGUCUUGCAUUGCACGUUAAAACAUUUUUCAUAUCUUUUGAAUUAAAUUCAGCGUACAUUGGUCGUGUAUUAUCAUACACGUAAAAUAGAAUUUGAUUUAUUUAUUACAGUUUUGGUAAUACGUUUAGUCAUUUGAAUAAAUAAAUUUGAAGUGAA